UUAAGGGCACUUGGGUUUAUUGCCCCGAGUAGUCAUAUCAGUGUAGCACUUGCCACACUUCUCUCUGUUGCCAUAAGUUCCUGGUGGAACACAUUUGCACCUAACACAGCAUGUAGUGCAAGCUCUUCCACAAACGUUUGGCCUUGAGUGUGCCUUGCAUCUUGCUGCACAUAGUGGGAUGCAAUCUGAAAAGAACAGGUACAAAAGUACUGUCAAAAGAUGAACCAAAACGUUCUAAAAUAAAAAUGAAACUUUUGUUAAUUUUUAAAUGAUACCUUUGUUUGACCUCACAAUAGGCAUUGGUGGAGAUGCCGGAGAGGGAACUUGGGGGGCAGGAGCUGUUUUAGGUGGGGUCACUGGUGGGGGAGUGGUUGUGGGUGGCUUCACUGGUGGUGGAUAAGUGGUGGGUGGCUUGAGUGGUGGUGCCGGCGUAACUGUUGGUGGCUUCACUGGUGGGGACUUCACUGGUGGUGCUGGUGGGGGAGUGGUUGUGGGUGGCUUCACUGGUGGUGGAUAAGUGGUGGGUGGCUUCACUACUGGUGGUGGAGUGAAUGGCUUAACUGGAGCCUUAGAAGGAGCUGGUGCAG
rnacentral:lncRNA from 1 species